rnacentral:rRNA from 1 species
CAGCAAGUCACUGAGGGUGAGAACCCCGUCCGUGGCCCGGUGAUGGAACGGACGAGACAGCGGCCCCAAUGAGUCGGGUUGUUUGGGAAUGCAGCUCAAAAUGGGUGGUAAAUUUCAUGGGGGAGCUAAAUAUUGGCAAGAGACCGAUAGCGAACAAGUAGAGUGAUCGAAAGAUGAAAAGCACUUUGAAAAGAGAGUGAAACAGUGCGUGAAAUUGUUGAAAGGGAAGCGCUUGGCAUCAGCCCAUGACUUUUGUCCAUCAUCCUGGCUUCUGCUUGGUGCAUUGGUCAAGAGUUGGGCCAGCGUCUGCUCCUUGCGCCCUAGAAAGGCCUUGGGGACGUGGCUCCAUCUGGAGCGUUAUAACCCUUGGCGGCAUGGGGUGAGAUGGGGCCGAGGUCCGCGGCAUAGCCCAGGACGCUGGCGUAAUGGUCCCAAGCGACCCGUCUUGAAACACGCACCAAGGAGUCUAACAUCUAUGCGAGUGUUUGGGUGUCAAGCCCGGCCGCGCAAUGAA